CACGGACUCACCAUAACCUACUCCUUCUCUAAUUUGUAUGGGACAAGGUUUCCCUUUCAAAGACCUACCUCAAUUUUCAUUUUUCAAAGACCACCUCUAAAUCAUUGACUCUGGCCAAUGGUGUGGGGGGCAAUGGAAGCAUAAUAAAGAUUGAACAGAGUGACAUCUUUGUUGAGAAGGUAAGAGAGUAUUCUCUAUGCAGAUGAUACAUACAAGAUCAAAGCAGAGUGGACCCUACAACUACAAUAAAGAGAAAAUAAAAAUUUUCGUAUUAAUGAAUCAACUAAGACCCUAGGAAAAUGGGAGCUAGAUCCAUGACAGGUAGCUUUGGUUGAAAAGACCAAAUUGAGCUCCUUGAUAGACAUUGGGGUCUCCCAUGUCGAUUACAGUCUACUGAGGGCCUUUAUAUGGAAAUGAUGCAAGGUGACAAAUACCACACGUUUAACUAUUGGUGAGAUGACUCCAAACCUGUACGGUGUGCGACAUAUAUUAAGGAUACUUGUGACAGACGAGCCUGUAACAGCCAUCAGACCUAAAGACUAUAUGGGCUUUCAUCAUGGAGCAUUUGAGAGAUUGCCCUAAAGGUGAUAAGUUGAGUCGUCUUAAACAUACUUGACUAAGGAGGAAAUUCGGGCAACUACCAAAAAAGCUUACCAAAUUAAAACUGCUUCAACACACUCGAGCUUAUCUCCUUUAUUUAGUUGGCACAACUAUAUUUGCCGACUCAUCUCAAGAAUUGACGCUUACAAGUUACCUGCAACCGUUUCGAGAUCUUGAUGAGACAGAAUAGUAUGCAUGGGGUGCAGUAGCGCUUGCCUUCUUAUAUCGUUCCUUAUCUAAGGUCGUGGACAGGGAAACUCAUUUUAGUGGGUUAGCAACACUACUACAGUGUUGGGUCUAUGACAAUUUUCCAACUCUAGGCACCAAGCCUACAGCUAUCACCCUAUAAAUGCCUAGAGCUUGCAAGCGGAAGAAACAACCAGCAUUUGAUGACAUCUCAAUUGACAUGGUGACUUGGUAACCAUAUGAGAAGUACAGCCCAUUAGAUACACUUAGUAAAGAAAACGUGCUGUGCUAAUCAUAUUUGAUAAGUUUCCACAUUGCAGAGUACUAUAUGCCUGAUCGUGUGCUGCGAUAAUUUGAGAAGAUGCAAGAGAUUCCUGUUGGAGUGGGAUAGGAGGGAGAAUGCUGGUAUACACCCCACAAGUUGGAUUGACGAGUUGAGUAGCGAGAUAAGCGACUAGCGGCAACGAAAACGCAAUGUUGUCAAGGGGCCGUUGAUAAAUAUGAUUGAAUACCUACAAAAGAGUAUAUGGCUUGGUACAGCAUGUUCACCUAUAGAUAUAGAAAUACCCCCACGUGCCCCACUUCGCAUGUCAUGAUGACGACAGGAGAUUGUGAUUAACAUGUAUAGGAAUGCUACAAGCUGCACUUAGUGAUGAAGUAUUAGCAGGGGAAUCCAGACAUCAUGUAUAGGUAACCCUUGAUUUGCUAUUGCAGAACACUCCUAUAGAGACAAGUGUCGAGGAGAUGGCGGAAGCGAGAGCGAGGAGAGAGAUGGUGGAGAUGCUGAAAGCGAAAGCGAGAAAGGAGAUAGUGGAGAUGAGGAAAGCGAGACUGAGGAGGGAGAUGGUGGAGAUGAGGAAAGAGAAAGCGAGACCGAUGAUGAAAAUGAGAAGAGAAUAAAGAGCAAAAAUGACUAGAGCAAAAACCACCAAAUUGAAGUUGUGCUAGCCUUGCAUAAGGAAUCAAGGUGGAAUUUACGAUCGUGGAGGGAGAUGUCCAUGAGGAAAGGAUUAAGGAGGAACCCGAUGUAAAGGGAAAGGGUAAUGCAAGCUGGCCAUAAAAAAUGGCUGAGGCGAAAAAAGUGAAAAAUAUGUAUUUUCCAAUUUGACAUGCAUUUUUGAGAUGAUACCUGAAUAUGUAAUUUGAAAAGUGACUAAUGCAAGUUGCAAAGGCUAUGAACUUUUUUUUGAGAUGAAAAAUUGUAAUUUGAAAAGUGAUCAAUGCAAGUUGCAAAGGCAAUGAACCUUUAUUUGAGA